rnacentral:lncRNA from 1 species
UCUCCCAGCAGGAUAAUGAUCUAAAAAAUAAUGACAUGACAACAAAUGUAUGGUGUAAUAACAAGGAAAUUAUGGUCAUUGAAUGGGAUAGUUAGUUUCCAGAACUCAAUCCAUGGAAGCUUACAAAAUAAGUCAGGGAACUCUAAACGAAAUACAUGUUAAGAUUAAGAUUUUUUUUUUUUGGACCAGAAAUACAAAGGUAAUAGUAUUUUUUUGGAAUCAUCUCAAGAUUUGUCAAAACUAGGGGUGUACCGAUGCAUCGAAAUUGCAAAAUGCAGCCUUUUUUGAGCUAUUGGAAUGGGUUAUCAGAAUCAGCUUAAUACUGCGGAUUCCACCAAUUCCUAUGUAUUUAUAUGGAUAAUAUGACAUAAUCUAGCUCAUUUUUGGAAACAAAUUUAAGGUUACGAAACAAUAAAAUAGCUAGCCAGUAACGGUAGCAGUUGGGUUGAGUGGUUUACUCUGAAACCAUUAAUACAUUUUCACUAAAUAUUUCUUUUUUGUAUGUUUAUAACAGAGCUGAAGUUGAGUCCAUAUGUUCUGUGUCAAAAUGGAGUCAUCAGUAUCCGUCCUGGUCUAUUAAAACGACACGAGACCGGAUUCGAGCACUGGUUUAUAAACAUUUCAAUUACUAGGGGCGUAUAUUGGAACUACUUUAAACUUCAUCCAGAUCCAUAAUGUGGAUAUUCGAGGUUGAAUCACACUAAUAUAAAAGGUUGCGUGAACAAUACACUACAACAUCCACCACAAUUGUUUUGACAACAAACAUUAGUCAUCAUGGAACAAGCAAGGAGAGACGAAGGAUCCUAUUUACGCAAUCGACACUACAGACAAAGUUAAGCUCCUUUUCGAUUCAGGAGCUCAGUUCUCUGUUUUACCCAAAAAGUUGACAUCUUAAAGGUUUUUAGAAAGACUAAGCUAACAUCCUUGGUCGCCUUCGGAGGACAAAGAGUUGUUCAUAUGGGGAUGUUGUCCUAGAUAUGGUCCUUGACGGAAAAAAAACUACUCUUGGAUUUUGUAUCUAGUAGACAAGGCUCCUCCAAUUUUGAGAGUUGAUUUUUACGACAUCACGAUUUCAGCAUUGAUGUCACGAGUGGCUACCUCUUCAAAAGACGGUAUGCCUUCACCUCACCAAAAUCACACUUCAGGACGAGUUCAUGGAACAGUUCCCUUUGCUCUUCCCUUCUUAGGAUUCUCACACACCUGUUCGAUACUCGGUGAUAUUUAUGAUAGUUACAGGGCUCGGAGACUCAGUGGACCCAAAUUGGCUUUCCGAAGAAAGAAGUGGGCGAGCUCCUGGAGCUUGGAGUUCUGCGAGUGUACUCAUCCUUCUUUUCAUCGGUAGUGCACAUCAUUCAGAAGCAAAGUGGAGGAUUCCGUUCUCUCUGGGGACUUCCAUCGCCUGAAUUGCAUUUCUCAGCUGGAUCGUUACCCCCUUCCCAAUAUGAGGUACUUUUCUCAAGGUUUUGGGGGAUCCAAAGUGUUCAGUAAGCUGGAUAUAUGCAAGGCAUACCAUCAGAUCCAUGUAAACGGUCGACCGUUUCAAGUCUGCUUGUUGUGUUCAAGACAUUCUGUCUGCUUUUAAAACUUCUUCUAGAUCCUCCACCAAAGAUUUUAUUAUUAAUUUUACACCUUUAUAUCAAUUUUCUCAUUUUACGCUUUUAUUUCAAUUUUUCAUUGUAUGUUUUUAUUUGAAUGUUCUCAUUUAUUAAUGUUUUUAAUAGAUUUGUUGAUUUUAGCUUGUCGUAGAAUCUAGGGGGGGAUCACUGAAGGAUCACUCUUAGAGCUCUUCUUGUUUAUACCAAUAAUAUGCCUUAUAGAAGGACUCUAAUAAAGUCAGUUGAAAUAAGAUAA